GAUAUUGAGUGUCCCUCUGAAGAAAUCUGGGGAGGCGGGGAUUCUGGAAAAAAAGAUGUUAGAUUCACAAUCAUCUUGCCCUACAAUCCUAGGCCUCAAUUUCAAUGAUUGAAUAUGUUCCUAUGAAAGGACAUUUUUGCUGCUUCUUUGAAAUCUUGGAUGAAUAAUGAAAUAACCUGCAUUAAGCAAUGGACAGCACAGAAACUUUUAUGGUUGAAGAUCAUUGUGCUCUGGACAAUCAGUCUCAAGGUACUACAUAGCCAAUUAUAAAAAUGCAAAGAAAUGGCUGGGCAUGGUGGCUCACAGCUGCAAUCCCUGCACUUUGGGAGGCUGAGGUGGAGAGAUCACUUGAAGUCAGGAGUUCAAGACCAGCCUGGCCAACAUAGUGAAACGCCAUCUCAACUAAAAAUACAAAAAUUAGCCAGGCAUGGUGGUGCACGCCUGUAGUCCCAGCUACUAGGGAGGCUGGGACAGGAAAAUUGCUUGAACCUGGGGGGCAGAGGUUGCAGUGAGCCAAGAUUGUGCCACUGCACUCCAGCCUAGGUGACAGAGCAAGACUCCAUCUCAAAAACAAACCAACAACAAAAACAAAACGAAACAGAAAACAAUGAAAUGUUGCUUAGGUCUGAACGUUUGUGGAGUGGUUGUGGUUAUCACAAUCUGAGUAUCACAAGAGGAUGGGAAGCACUAGCACAGAUGGUCUGUCCACAAUUUGUGCAGGAAGUUGUCCAGUGCUAGAGAACUUUACCUCUGGUCUUCGUGCCUGAGGUCCCCCCCAUCUAACUGUGGUGGCUGGUGUGGAGGAGGCAGGAUCAGACAGUUUUGAACCUGAAGUGGUCAGUAAAACCAAAGGACAAGCUGAUAGGAAGGUAAGCCUUCGCCUCAAACGUAGUGCAGGCCACCCAGGAGUGCCCAGACACAUGGUCAUUCUUAGCGGUCAGGCCACUACAUAUGCCCUUGACCACCUGUUCCGGACAAUGAAUGUGGACAGGUUUUACAGGUUCCACCAGAAGGUCAGUUGGCAGGCAGGGACACCAUCGAGAUAAUCCAUCUGUUCCACGGUAGAUGGUGUCCUGCUAGGGUGCAUAGAGAAUGUCAAGGCUGACAGGCACACCCAGCACAUUCCCUUUGUGCUGUGCUCGCCUGGGGGCUGCUGGGAGCUGACCACGCGCCCCCUGGGGGCUGCUGGGAGCUGACCACGCG
rnacentral:lncRNA from 1 species